rnacentral:lncRNA from 1 species
GCAUCAUGUUUGUUGUAGAGAAGAACUGUUUGACUCUCUAAAAAGUAGUGAGAAUACUAUUUAUUUAUCGGAUGGAUCGAGCUGUGCAAUCAAGAGCAUUGGGAUAGUUAGCUUGCAAACAUAUGAUAGAGCAAUGAGGAAGUUGGAUGAGGUCUGAUACAUACAUAGUUUUAGGAGUAAUCUGAUUUCAUUGAGUAGACUAAAUUCAAGUAGCUAC